UCUCGUUGUCGGUGUUGGUCUGCGGGCAGGUGCGCUUGAGGUUGUUGGCGAAGGUCUUGUCCAUGACGGGGUCCUGGUUCGGGUACAGCCGGCCGGUAAAGGAGGGGCAGUGACCGAUGCCGAUGGUGUGCCCCCCGGAGAGCGUCACCAGGUCGGUGGUGUCCAGUUUGAGCUUGUCCAGGGCUUCGAUGAGUACUGUCGCGUUGGCCGUCGGCGGCGGCAGGAAGUCCAGUGUGGUCGCUCUGCUCGCGAAGGUCAGACCAUCUCGCCGCCCCGUCGGCACCUUGU
rnacentral:lncRNA from 1 species